UACGUAGGGGGCAAGCGUUGUCCGGAAUCAUUGGGCGUAAAGAGCGUGUAGGCGGCCAGACAGGUCCGUUGUGAAAACUCGAGGCUCAACCUCGAGACGUCGACGGAAACCGUCUGGCUAGAGUCCGGAAGAGGAGUGUGGAAUUCCUGGUGUAGCGGUGAAAUGCGCAGAUAUCAGGAAGAACACCUAUGGCGAAGGCAGCACUCUGGGACGGUACUGACGCUGAGACGCGAAAGCGUGGGGAGCGAACAGG
rnacentral:rRNA from 1 species